rnacentral:rRNA from 1 species
GAUGAACGCUGGCGGCGUGCCUAAUACAUGCAAGUCGAGCGAACAGACGAGGAGCUUGCUCCUCUGACGUUAGCGGCUGACGGGUGAGUAACACGUGGAUAACCUACCUAUAAGACUUGGAUAACUUCGGGAAACCGGAGCUAAUACCGGAUAAUAUAUUGAACCGCAUGGUUCAAUAGUUAAAGACGGUUUUGCUGUCACUUAUAGUUGAUUCCGCGCCGCAUUAGUUAGUUGGUAAGGUACCGGCUUACCAAGGCAACGAUGCGUAGCCGACCUGAGAGGAUGAUCGGCCACACUGGAACUGAGACACGGUCCAGACUCCUACGGGAGGCAGCAGUAGGGAAUCUUCCGCAAUGGGCGAAAGCCUGACGGAGCAACGCCGCGUGAGUGAUGAAGGUCUUCGGAUCGUAAAACUCUGUUAUUAGGGAAGAACAAAUGUGUAAGUAACUAUGCACGUCUUGACGGUACCUAAACAGAAAGCAACGGCUAACUACGUG